rnacentral:tRNA from 1 species
GGGGUAAGAUGGGUUCAUAGAUUGACUUCUAAUCAUUUUCUAUUUUGGUUCAAUUCCAAAUUACUCCU